UCCAAAGGAGAGCGGAGUGUUUGACGUCUUGCGAGCUCAUCAUGCUUGGAGUGCCAAUGCCAAACACGCAGACGCAGCAGCUCCGAAGCAAACUCCACGACUCGGUCUCCUCUUCCUAGCACCAUCCGGCCCAUCCAGCCGCCGCCGCCUUGCAUCCUCCACCUCUCCGGAUCCCGCCGCGAUGGAGGAAGACGACGAGUUCGGCGACCUCUACACGGACAUCCUCAUCCCCACUCAUACCCCCGCAUCCACCUCCGCGCUAUCCAACCCUGUUCUAGUCGAAACCCUACACCGCCCGCCUCCACACCCUAAUCCUACCCCCGUGGCGGCGGCAGCAGAGGAGGUCGACGAUGACUGGCUCCUAGGAGGGAGCGAACCCAUACCCGGGGUCGACCCGACCGGCGAUUGGGCCGACGAGGACGACGAUGGAGGGGAGCCCGCACCUCCCGCGAAGCGGUCCACCUCUGCGGAUGAUAUCGAUCCGCUCAUGGGGGGUGGUGCGGGGGAUUCCGGGCCGGUCAUCCCUGGGCUCUCGUCAUCAUCGGCAGCUGGUGCGGCCGGGAGCGACGAAUGGGACAGCGAUAGCGAGGACGACAUCCAGAUCGUGCUCAACGAGACCGAUGGCCGCCCGGGGCUUGUGGAGGAUGAAGGAGACGACGAAGACGGUGAGGACCUCGUCAUCGUCGCCGACGGACCAGCGAUGGAGGAGCAGGAUUGGGGAGAGGACCCAGCAGCGGCAGGGGCAGAAGGAGAGCGAAAGGACGGAUGUGAGCCUGGUAAGACGGUGGCAGCACCGACCGGAAGGAUCGGGUACAGUGGCGGCGGCCCAGGGUUCCAUCAGCAGCACCAUUCCAUGUUCAAGUAUGUACGACCUGGCGCUCCUGGUGCUUCAGUAGGUGGGGUACCUGGUGGUCCUGGUCAAUUCCGCCCUCCUGGGCCUUUAGGCCCUUUCUCUGGUCGUGGCAGAGGUGAAUGGAGGCCUGCUGCUGGUCGAGGCAUGAACAAAAGUUUUCAUUCAGGCUAUGGAAUCACUCCAUGGGGUGGUUCAGGGCGCAAUUUUGGUGGUGGACUAGAUUUUGCACUUCCUCCUCACAAGACAAUAUUUGAUAUUGAUGUGGAAACUGCAUUUGAGGAGAAGCCAUGGAAAUUCCCUGGUGCUGAUAUUUCAGACUUUUUUAACUUUGGCCUUGAUGAAGAGAAGUGGAAAGAUUUUUGCAAGCAGCUGGACCAACUUCGACUAGAAUCCACAAUGCAAUCUAGGAUACGGGUGUACGAAAGUGGCCGCUCUGAACAGGAUUAUGACCCAGAUUUGCCACCUGAGCUUGCUGCUGUGACUGGUCAUCCAGACAUCUCUGCUGACAGUCGCAAUAAAAUGGUUAACGGGCAUACAGAUUUUAGUGCCCAAGGAAGAGGUCCGGCAAACGUACGGACACCAUUGAUGACAGGGAGACCUAUUCAAGUUGAAACUAAUUACACAGACCGGUUUCCAUCUGUUGAUUCACGCUCGCAUCGAAUGCGUGAAUCAGAUUCGGUUAUUGAGAUUGUGUGCCAGGGCCGUGAUUCGAUGGAUGAUGAGACAGUGGACCAAACUGAAAAGGAUUCUCAAGGAGGUAACAAAGGAGCCCAUUGUAUUGAGGGAAAGCCAUAUUCAUCAGAUAAGAUAAAUAAUUCUGAUCAUAACUCAAAUUCAGUGAAAAAGACACAGCAUAAGGGACAGCUACCAGUUUCAUCUGAAAGUGAUAUGUUAUCUAUGGAUGCCAAUACUCACUCCCCUCCCAGCUACAAAACAAGAGGUUCACCUCGUGGAGCAUGGCCAUUGAAAGGAAGCUCACUGGGUCAGAACUCUAUUCGAGAAAUUGAAAGCUCCAAUGAAGUAAUUCCUCGUCAGUCAUCUUCAAAGAGAUGCCAUGAUUCCCAGAAAGAGAACCUUAUUGAGGGCUCAGAAAAUAAGGCUGAUUCAGAUUCAGAAGGGUCACUUGCUGCUAAUGAUGACGUGGCAGAUAAACUGAGUACAGAAGAUCAUUUUGAUGAUGCUGGUGGUGGUGGUGGUGGUGAUGAUGAUAAGCUCACAUUGGUUGGUCGUGUUGAAAUGGAUGUUGAUGAUGCUACCUCAGACCCCAACAUGCCUAGUGAUGCAAAUCACGAUGAUAACCUGGUUCAUUCUGAUACAAAGCAGAAACACAUAUCUGUGGUUGAGCAACCUACUGAACACAAUAGCAGUGAACCUGAUGAAUUGAGGAAUACUGAAAAUAGUAAAGGGAGGUCUGGUAGCAGCAAAGAUCAGCAGAAACACCUUGAAUCUGGUGAAGAAGUUCUUCAAGAUAAGCAAUUAAGGAGAGUAAAUAAUGUAAGAAUGCAUCAUGACGCGGAAGAACACAAACUUCGCCAAAAAGAUGAGCAUUCACGAGAUGCAAAAUCAGAUUUGGAAAGAUCACGUUUACCCUCCAGAGGCAGGGAAGAUAUCCACCAAUCUUAUGCAAACAGAGAUAGGGUUGACAUACAGGGCAGGAGUUAUAAUAAGGUAAGAGAGACUGAAAUUUUGCCAAGGAGAGAUGAUGGUGUUCACAGCCGACGUGCUAAAGAGGAAGAUUUGAGGCUAGAGUACAAUGUUGAAGGUGGUGCAAGGCAUAGAAAUAAGGUGAGGCCCAUUGAUAGGAAUGAUAGAGAUGAAGAUCAUUCACGGAAGCGUUUGGAUGAUGGCGAUAGGAGAGGCUCUCGACAAAGAGAGCGUGGUGAUGUGGUUUUGAAUCGCCGUGAAAGUGAUGAUUCUCUUAUAAAGAGAAAGAAGGACGAUGAGAACUUGCGUAGGUUGAAGCCUGAAAAUGAAGACAUGGUCGCGACACAUGGUUAUAAAGCAAGGGAUGACAGUAACAGAAGAAAAAAAGAGAGGGAUGAUGGAAUUGAUCAGAAAAGACGAGAUGAUAGUGGUAGACUGCGGGAAAAGGAUGAUGAUCGUUAUCAUGUCAAACAGAAGGAUGGCAACUGGAGACAAAGAGAAAGGGAGGAUAGACAGAGGCCCAAGCAAGAAAAUACAUUAACCGUUCAGAGGGAAGAAGGAAGAGGAACUGGUCGGGGUAGUCGGAUGAUGGAUGAUAAGUUAGUCAGUGGUGGUAGGAAGAAGGAUGAACCAAGAUCUUCAUUAUUAAGCAAAGACACUCAAGAGCGUACAAGGCAAAAUGAACCUUCGAGGAGAGGUCAGGGUGUGGAAGAAAACAACAUGCAGAAUAAAGGGCGUUUUGAUGACAAUUCAAACAGUGAGAGGAACUCCAGGCAAGAAAAACAAAACAAUAAUCGUCUAUCUGGCAGUUCUGACGCUCGCCAUGCAGGCAGAGAUAAGCAUAGGGAGAGCACAAGGAAGGGCAGAGGUUCCGAGCUUGCUGAGCAUGAUCUCCACAGAUCGAGCAAAAGGAGGUGUGAAGACCAUGAAAGCCAUCGCAGUGGGAAGGUUUGCAGUUGCAGCUUAACUCUUCUACAUAUGAACUAGCCCAAUGGAACUUCUAUCUUACGGUCUUUUACACCUCAGAUUAGUAGAUUCUCUAGUUUAUGCAAUUUCUACAGUUUCCUAGGAAUUACACCAUUUGAGAAUAUUGUCAAUUUUAAAAACAUCAUUAGGCUUCACAAGGUUGAAACAAAAGAAGUGAAUGAACAAGAGAGUAGUAGAGGUCAUGCAGCAUUAUCCAAGAAGGGCCAGAAUCCUCAGCCAGAUAAUUCAUUGUUGAAUGAAGUGGAAGAAGAUGCCAUAUCAGAUGACGAAAACCACGAGGAUUCUAGAAGGGGUCGCUCUAAGUUGGAGCGAUGGACAAGCCACAAAGAGAUAGAAUAUAGUAAUAUUGAUGAUGAUAGUACACAAACAUUUCCGACCAUCAAAGCUGAUGUUGAAGCCGAUGAGGUAGGUAAAUCUCAAGUUUCUGCUGCAGCUGGCAACUCGGACAUCAAUAGCAAUGUUGAUACUGGGCAGACAUCUGAUAAGAUGACUGAAGAAUGUGAGCGUGACCGACAUCUAGACACAGUUGAGAGGCUCAAGAGACGAAGUGAGCGUUUCAAACUUCCCAUGCCCGGCGAGAAGGAUGCACCUCAAAGCAAAAAGGUAGAUACCGAAGUGCAGCCUCCCCAAAAUGAAUCGUCAGCUGUUGAUAUGGAAGUGAAGCCAGAGCGGCCAGCUCGCAAGAGGAGAUGGACUGGGAGUUAGUUGAACUGGAACAUUUCCACUUCAUCAAGAAAUUUCAGCAGAUUCCAUGGCAGUUGCUUGCACUUCGGCAUGUUUCUUCCUUACAGUUGAAAGUUGAGUUGAUGUAUGGUUUUACUGUUUAACUUGUACCAGCAAAGUGUAAACUUAGUUGUUUUGUGGCUGGGAACUGGAUACUGUACUAAAAUCACAUCCAUUUUCCCACCAUGAUUCGGGAUUCCGGUGACCAUUGUGUGGCACAGGUGCCACUGUACUCAGGAUAGUUCUGAGGCUGUUACGAGAAGCAGUGGCCUCGGAGCCCAGUUGAAUAUCUGGGUUCGGAAUGAGCUGCAUUUUGAAGCUGGAGUGCCCCUGCUGCAAGUUGAUUUUGUUUGAAGUGCAGGUGGCCUGGAAGCACUGGGUCUUGUAACACGCUUGUGCUGGUGGGAGAUACUUGCAAGCUGUGGUGGCUGAAUGCUUGCCAUGUGAUGCUGUUUUAUGGAGCAAUAGGUGAUAGAAACAAAGGACUAGAGAUUUCAGAACUGAUGAUAUAAUCACUAAUUUGUAUGCUUAAUACUAUAUUAGCCAUGUACAUUCUGAUAAACAUAUAACUGUCGUGCAUGAGUUGUUGAUGGAGUAAAGGUAGACUGUAGUGUAGAGCUGCAGGGUGCACUGGACCAUUUGGAUGGAUCAAUACAUAUAUAUAUAUACCUGUAGGCAGUGCUAGGUAAGAAGAAUAUGAUUGUUUGCUUGUUGUAGAUUUGCGAUGUAUAUAACUGGUUCAUGUGGAGUUUUGCUAAUCAUACAGAGUUCUGAAUGGCACUAUGUAAAUUUAUUGAAAUUUAGCAUUUCA